UACAGAGGUCCCAAGCGUUGUUCGGAUUCACUGGGCGUAAAGGGUGCGUAGGCGGUCGGGUAAGUCUGAUGUGAAAUCUCACAGCUUAACUGUGAAACUGCAUUGGAUACUAUUCGGCUUGAGAGUUGGAGGGGGGACUGGAAUUCUUGGUGUAGCAGUGAAAUGCGUAGAUAUCAAGAGGAACACCAGUGGCGAAGGCGAGUCCCUGGACAACUUCUGACGCUGAGGCACGAAAGCUAGGGGAGCAAAAGGG
rnacentral:rRNA from 1 species